rnacentral:rRNA from 1 species
CCUACGGGUGGCAGCAGUGAGGAAUAUUGCUCAAUGGGGGAAACCCUGAUCCAGCGACGCCGCGUGAGUGAAGAAGUAUUUCGGUAUGUAAAGCUCUAUCAGCAGGGAAGAAGAAAGACGGUACCUGACUAAGAAGCCCCGGCGAACUACGUGCCAGCAGCCUCAGUAAUACGUAGGGGGCAAGCUUUUUCCGGAUUUACUGGGGGUAAAGGGAGUGUAGACGGCUGUGCAAGGCUGAGGUGAAAGCCGAGGGCUCAAACCUGGGACUGCUGUGGAAACUGUGGAGCUAGAGUGCUGGAGAGGUAAGUGGAAUUCCUGGUGUAGCGGUGAAAUGCGUAGAUAUUAGGAGGAACAUCGGUGGCGAAGGCGACGAUCUGGCACAUAACUGACGCUGAGGAGCGAAAGCGUGGGGAGCAAACAGGAUUAGAUACCCCAGUAGUC